AGGCGAGCGGAUCCACUUGCAAGGCUUUAUUCAAUGACAUGGUCAAUACCGGCAAAAGUCAAACAAUGGCAAACAGAUAUAUCAAGAGUGAGACUGAAGAGUGAUCAAUGAAACAGGCGUGGGUCAAACGAUGGUAACCGUAAUCCAGAGGGCGAGGCAAAUGGUAAAUCCAAUAAUAGGCGAUAAUCCAGGCAUGACGUAAACAGAACCUCCGCGAGGGAACAGAAGACCACCAAGGCAGAGACUGGAACCUGGAGAAAACUGAGACACAGGAGACUCUGGACCUAGGCAGGGAACACAAACAGUUCAUCACUAUACUCCCAGGUGACCACUGAAUGGACAGAUAGUUCACAAACAGGCUCACAGAGAGACACUGAACAACCAGACAGAUCACAAUUAGACUCAUUAACUAGAAUAGGCCAUACAGAUAAUACAGACACAUCAGGGAAAACAGAACAAGCAGAGAGUUCACGAAUUAUAUCUAUGGCAGUGACGGGGUAAAUGGGACAGAUAUCGAGUGCAUUUUCAGUCUCUGGGCUCAUGACAGGCAGGGUUAAGGAUUCAAAAGGGGGGUUUUUGAGCAGUGACAGCCUAGCUAAAAGUUAAUGUUGGUCUCUUUGAGGGUGGCUGGACAGACAGGCAGUUCAACAUUGGUUUCCAUGGCUAAGACUGAUUGAAUUCUGACUGGACAGAUGGACCUUUCAUUAGUGGCCUCUUUGGCAAUGACCGACAAGGCUGACAGUUCAAAGACAGGCCCUUCGGUUGGGUCAGGACAGAACAAUAGUUCAUCAUAGGCCUCCAUGGCCGUUACAGGGCAGGCAGAGAGUUUGCAGACAGCCUCCAUAGCCAUGACAGGACAGGCAGAGAGUUCACAGACAGCCUCCAUAGCCAUGACAGGACAGGCAGAGAGUUCACAUGUGGGUACCACUGACACCUCUGGAGGUUCUACAGUAAUAUCAUCAGCAAACAGGAAGAGCUCAUUACUGGAUGCCACCACCAUGCAGGAAGCUGACGGGAAGCUUAUGGGAAGCGCUACAGAAAGGGGAAUCGGUUCAGGAAAAGGAGGGCUAGAAUGACUGGGUUUGGGGAUACCAGCUGCACCUGUUGACUUCAACGGUGGAUCCUCCAGGCUGGAUGCCAGUCUGUAAAACUGGUGAACUGACCAUGAAGAUCUGGGUGCAACAGACAGGAUGUGAUGUGACUCUGGAUGAUCAGCUGUGACGUGACGUGACUCUGGAUGACCAACGGUGAUGUGACAUGACUCUGGAUGACCAGCUGUGAUGUGACGUGACUCUGGAUGAUCAGCUGUGAUGCGAUGUGACUCUGGAUAUUCCUGUGGCUCAGUGGUAGAGCAAUGAGUUAGCAGUGCAAAAGGUUGUGGGUUUGAUUCCCAGGGAACACGUUAGGUAAAAAAUGUUAGCCUGAAUGCACUUUAAGUCACUUUGGAUAAAAGCAUCUGUUAAAUGCAUAAAUGUUAAUGGAUGAUCAGCUAAAAUGCGACAAGGCUCUGGAUGAUCAGCUGUGAUGCGACGAGGCUCUGGCAGAUCAGCUGUGACUUGACUUGACUCAGGAAGAUCAGCUGUGACUUGACUCAGGAAGAUCAGCUGUGACUUGACUUGACUCAGGAAGAGCAGCUGUGACUAGACUUGACUCAGGAAGAUCAGCUGUGAGUUGACUUAAUUCAGGAAAGACAGUGGUGGCAUGACAUGACUUUGUUGUUGACACCAUUUUGUGAGCAAUCUCUGGUACUCCAGCAAUUACAGGCACAGACACGGUGUUGUGUUACUCCUCAGCGAAACCCACCGUGAACACAGAGCCAGCAGUCAGCAAAGCAUAGUCUAUAAAGUCCUUUAAACUACAAUUAAAUUUACCCUCUGGCAACCAUGAUUUUAUGGAUUCAUUUAGUCCGUAACGAAAAAUUUAUUUUAAUGAGACCUCAUCAAAAGGUACUCUAAAAGAUAACUCACAGAACUGAGUGACGUACUCCUCAAUAGGUGAACUCCCCUGUCGUGAAUAGAGUAGCCGGUCGACAGGGUCCAUACUUGGCCAAGGUCCUUUAGGAAAGCCGCUGGAUCCUUGUGGGGCCGAGUAUUCUGUAACGGGGUGACAGAGACGUGAGGCGAGCGGAUCCACUUGCACUUUAUUCAAUGACAUGGUCAAUACCGGCAAAAGUCAAACAAUGGCAAACAGAUAUAUCAAGGGUGAGACUGAAGAGUGAUCCAUGAAACAGGCGUGGGUCAAAGACGGUAACCGUAAUCCAGAGGGCGAGGCAAACGGUAAAUCCAAUAACAGGCGAUAAUCCAAGCAUGGCGUAAACGGAGUCCGAAUGGUAAGAUGAAAGGGGUAUACAAAAUAAACAGACAAGAAUCAAAACACGAGUAAACAAACAAGACAAGAUAAUGACUAGGAACUGAAAACUAGACAGGCUCCGUAGAGUAGCUAUCGCUUGGAGGAAGAUAAAUGCAUACAAUACUUAGUGACUACAGCAGGAUCAGAGUGUUAUAUAGUGUGUUAUUGGAUGCAGGUGAGUGCGCAAUCAGUGCAGUGGAGCAUGGGAGAUGUAGUCCAGAGUGAUGCGUGACAGUCUGUGUGGUGUGAGUGUCAAUAUGGUGACAGAGCGACCUCUUGUGAUAAUCAGAUGAAAGUCCAUGG
ensembl:lncRNA